rnacentral:rRNA from 1 species
UACGUAGGGGGCAAGCGUUGUCCGGAUUUAUUGGGCGUAAAGAGCGUGUAGGCGGCUUGGCAAGUCCGCUGUGAAAACUCGAGGCUCAACCUCGAGACGUCGGUGGAAACUGCCUGGCUAGAGUCCGGAAGAGGAGAGCGGAAUUCCUGGUGUAGCGGUGAAAUGCGCAGAUAUCAGGAGGAACACCAAUUGCGAAGGCAGCUCGCUGGAACGUAACUGACGCUGAGGUGCGAAAGCGUGGGGAGCAAACAGG